rnacentral:tRNA from 1 species
GUGGGUAUAGCUCAGCUGGUUAGAGCGCCAGAUUGUGGCUCUGGAGGUCGUGGGUUCGAAUCCCAUUAUUCACCCCA